AACGAACGCUGGCGGCAUGCCUAACACAUGCAAGUCGAACGAGACCUUCGGGUCUAGUGGCGCACGGGUGCGUAACGCGUGGUAACCUGCCCUUAGCUUCGGAAUAACUCCCCGAAAGGGGUGCUAAUACCGGAUAAUGUCUUCGGACCAAAGAUUUAUCGCCUUUGGAUGGGCCCGCGUUGGAUUAGCUAGUUGGUAGGGUAAAUGCCUUCCAAGGCGACUAUCCAUAGCUGGUCUGAGAGGAUGAUCAGCCACACUGGGACCGAGACACGGCCCAGACUCCUACGGGAGGCAGCAGUAGGGAAUAUUGGACAAUGGGCGAAAGCAUGAUCCAGCAAUGCCGCGUGAGUGAUGAAGGCCUUAGGGUUGUAAAGCUCUGUUACCAGGGAUGAUAAUGACGGUACCGGGAGAAUAAGCUCCGGCUAACUCCGUG
rnacentral:rRNA from 1 species